GCCGGUGUAGCUCAGCGGUAGAGCAACGCUUUCGUAAAGCGUAGGUCGUGGGUCCGAUUCCCACCACCGGCUCCA
rnacentral:tRNA from 1 species